rnacentral:rRNA from 1 species
AUUGAACGCUGGCGGCAGGCCUAACACAUGCAAGUCGAGCGGAUGAAGGGAGCUUGCUCCUGGAUUCAGCGGCGGACGGGUGAGUAAUGCCUAGGAAUCUGCCUGGUAGUGGGGGAUAACGUCCGGAAACGGGCGCUAAUACCGCAUACGUCCUGAGGGAGAAAGUGGGGGAUCUUCGGACCUCACGCUAUCAGAUGAGCCUAGGUCGGAUUAGCUAGUUGGGGGGGUAAAGGCCUACCAAGGCGACGAUCCGUAACUGGUCUGAGAGGAUGAUCAGUCACACUGGAACUGAGACACGGUCCAGACUCCUACGGGAGGCAGCAGUGUGGAAUAUUGGACAAUGGGCGAAAGCCUGAUCCAGCCAUGCCGCGUGUGUGAAGAAGGUCUUCGGAUUGUAAAGCACUUUAAGUUGGGAGGAAGGGCAGUAAGUUAAUACCUUGCUGUUUUGACGUUACCAACAGAAUAAGCACGGGCUAACUUCGUG